rnacentral:ncRNA from 2 species
CCUCGUUCUCAGGGCGGGGUGAAACUCCCCACCGGCGGUAAGCGGCACUGGCCGCAAGCCCGCGAGCGCCUUUUCGCGAGACUGCGGAAAGGGUCAGCAGAUCAGGUGAAAUUCCUGGGCCGACGGUGAUAGUCCGGAUGGAAGAGAACGCGC